rfam:Myotis brandtii contig208311, whole genome shotgun sequence.
CCAAAGGCUCUUUUCAGAGCCACCCACCUUCUCUCUGAAAGGGCUU